CCUACGGGUGGCAGCAGUGAGGAAUAUUGGUCAAUGGGCGGGAGCCUGAACCAGCCAAGCCGCGUGAGGGAAGAAGGUACAGCGUAUCGUAAACCUCUUUUGUCAGGGAACAAAGGCGGGGACUAGUCCCCGGAUGAGGGUACCUGAAGAAAAAGCAUCGGCUAACUCCGUGCCAGCAGCCGCGGUAAUACGGAGGAUGCGAGCGUUAUCCGGAUUUAUUGGGUUUAAAGGGUGCGUAGGCGGGUCGUUAAGUUAGCGGUGAAAGCCCGGGGCUCAACCCCGGACGGGCCGUUGAUACUGGCGGGCUGGAGUUGAGGAGAGGUACGCGGAAUGCGCGGUGUAGCGGUGAAAUGCUUAGA
rnacentral:rRNA from 1 species